GCAGGAAUUGCAGCUCCUCGAUCCCACGCUGAAUUCUCCUUCUCAGAGGGGUCUGAAAGGAGCCAAAACCCUGGGGGAGGGAAAGGACAGAGAGACACCUUGGAGGUCAUGGAGAGCUGCAACUCUCCUGCUUGACCCAGGGAAAACCCUCUAACCCAAAGGCAAGGAGCAGCAGCGACCAUCAUGACUGCCUCAAAGCUGGGGCAGUUGAAUCAACAAAGACAUCACAGGAGUGAGUAGAGGAACAGAAUGAAAUACCUUGUGGAAAUAAUCUUCACGAAGCUGAAACCCGAAAGCCCACAAGGUCCCAACGAGAGGUAGAGCCACAGGACCGGGAGGCAGAUGUCUUCGAGUCCGAAGUUGUCUCAGGAAGAAGAGAAUCAGCAGAGCAAACAACAAAACAAAAAAAAUUGUCCCCGUUGUCAUCAUUAUCCUGCUGUGUGUGUGUGUUUUAAACCUUUGAGACUUUCUGGUCGAUCUGGAGGUGGAUAUAUUCUUUUAUCUGAUGCUUUUCUUUCUGUUUUAUAGACUCUGUUGAUGGGAAAGUAAUAACAACAUGUCAUUUAACGCUCUGUUUGACUAGUCCUGGUACUUUGUCAAAAAGAUUUCAUCAUAUUAAUUCGGGUUAAUGAGGUUAACUGGGACCAUGUGCCACUCAAAUAACAGAGAUUUAAAAUAAUAAUUAAUGAUAAUAAUAAGGGCUCUGUAAUCCAUUUUAUUCCCUAACGUAAUAUUAUCCCAGAAUUAUUUUAAAAUAAUUGUGUAUCAUACAUCCCUAAAAUCCAUCUGAAUAUAAAGGAGAAUCUUGUGGAUCCCAGAGAUAUUACCUACUCCACAGUGGUGGGAUUCUACCAGUUCGCACCAGUUCGGUAGAACCGGUUGUUAAGUAGUUAAGCAGUUUGGAGAACCUGUUAUAAGAAGAAAUCUCAUUUUGUUUUUUCCCCCUACUUUACAGGGUUAAUCCUGCAAGGAAUUACAACAUUCUUGUUUCCUAGCCUAAUCUUUAUUGCCCUGCUUACAGAAACUGCCUCUCCAUUAACCCUUAUUACAUUCUUGGCAGUUACUUCCGGUUCCGGAGCUUCUCAGAGGUGCUUUGGAGAACAGCCCGACUUCCUCUUCUUUGUGGCAGCUCCUGAGAUACUGGAAGGCUGCUAUCAUGUCUCCCCUAGUCCUUCUAGGAUAUUGGAUAUUGGAUAUUACAUAUUGGAUCACUGCUAUCAUGUCUCCCCUAGUCCUUCCCUAGUAUUCAACUACUGGCUGAAGACCCUAUCCAUGGACCCAGACAGAAUACCUGAGCAUACUCUGCGAUUAGGCUUUUUCAGUUUUCAGAUGUCAUCUCACAAUAUGGAUUGUUCAUCCAAAUCCCAAUCCAACCCAAUGUCAAAGUCAGAAAACUAUCCAACAAAGAGUCAUAGUGGGAGUGGCCAUAACGAUUUUGCAACACUUAAAUAUGUGAAGCCUUUCAAGAGCCUGGCUCAACACAAAUCAGCCUCCCAGUUAGAAAAAAAUAUUAGGAAGUUUCAACUGCAGUAAAAUGUAGCUUUGCAAUAGUGGCAAAUAUCUGUAGCUCGGGUGUAGGAUGAGGGAGAAGGUUUGUUCUCCGAGCUUGUGGGUUAGUUUCCAAAUGUUUCAUUACCAGGCUAAGUGACAUCUUCAUCAGAUGCUGCAUGCUGCAUUCCUCUGAAAACAAUAGAAUACCCUAUCCCACCAGACUUGAAAUCCUAGGCUUAGAAAACUUGGAACUCCGUCGCCUUCGACAAGACCUAAGUUUAACUCAUAGAAUCAUCUAUUGUAAUGUCCUUCCUGUUAAAGACUACUUCAGCUUUAAUUGCAAUAAUACUAGAGCAACUAAUCGAUUUAAACUUAAUGUCAACCGCUUUAAUCUAGAUUGCAGAAAAUAUGACUUCUGUAACAGAAUCAUCAGUGCUUGGAAUACUUUACCUGACUCUGUGGUCUCUUCCCAUAAUCCUAAAAGUUUUAUCCAAAAACUUUCUACUAUUGACCUCACCCCAUUCCUAAGAGGACCAUAAGGGGCGUGCAUAAGCGCACAAACGUGCCUACCGUUCCUGUCCUAUUGUUUUUCUUUUCUUCUUCCUAUAUAUACGCUUAUACCUCCUUAUAUUUACUCAUAUAUGUGUUUAUUUACUAUAUAAUCUUUUUGUAUGAUACCUACAUAUAUUGUUGUGACAAAAUAAAAUAAAUAAAAAUAAAAUAAAAAAUG